UACGUAGGGGGCAAGCGUUGUCCGGAAUUAUUGGGCGUAAAGGGCGCGUAGGCGGCCUGAUAAGUCAAAGGUGAAAUCCCUCGGCUCAACUGAGGAAUUGCCUUUGAAACUGUCAGGCUUGAGGCCGGGAGGGGGUGGCGGAAUUCCCAGUGUAGCGGUGAAAUGCGUAGAUAUUGGGAGGAACACCAGUGGCGAAGGCGGCCACCUGGACCGGUUCUGACGCUGAUGCGCGAAAGCGUGGGGAGCAAACAGG
rnacentral:rRNA from 1 species